UCUCCAUUGGAGUAGUCUACCAAAAAUUGCUUAGUAACUCUCUUAAUGCUCCUACAGACACUCGAAAAUUUGAAUAGGUUUGGAAGCUAAAAUGUCCUAACAAAUUAAAAUUCUUCGUCUGGCUUUAUUCUCGUAGAAGACUUCCUACUAGUUGAUAUCUAAACCAUAUCAGCCUUGAAGUCGACCCUCUUUGUAAACGAUGCCAGCAUCUCGAAACUAUUAAGCAUAUUUUUCUCGAGUGUUCUAGUGCACUAUAGUUCUGAGACAGUAUCAAUAUGACCUCCACUAUAGCCAGCCUUAGACACCUAACUUCGAAAGAUUGGCUUGAUCGAUGCAGGACUAUGAAAGGCAUUAGGAUUGGGAUCUUCUUCGGGAGUUGGGGAACAAGCAAAUGCACCGUGAAAAUAGGCUUCUAAACAGGGUUGCGGACAAGCUAGCGAAGAAUGGUAGAAGAAAGGAAACUCCCCCUUUUUUUGAAGAAUGGACAGUUCCUCCUUUGUUUAUCUGGAAAUUCCUCAGUUUAGACAAAGGCGGAACUCCUUUUGAAAGGCAGUGUGUGCCUGAUGUUAAUACAAUAUGGACUAACGUUAGUUGCUUCAAACAAUAUGCAGGCAGUAGUAGUUAUGUAAGCAGUAGUAGUUCCAGUAUAGAACAAGCUCCGCAGCCUUGUGUUUUGUAUGAUGUACAAGCUAAGCAAUAUUACUAUUAUUAAUGAGUCA